rnacentral:rRNA from 1 species
GAUGAACGCUGACAGAAUGCUUAACACAUGCAAGUCGAUGGGGAAGUGGUGCUUGCACCAUGGUAACCAUGGCGGACGGGUGAGUAACGCGUAAGGAACUUGCCUGCGGGACCGGGAUAACAGCAGGAAACUGCUGACAAGACCGGAUAAGGUCAUUAAGCCGCAUAGCUUGGUGAUGAAAGGAGACGCCUGCGGAGAGCCUUGCGUCCUAUUAGCUAGUUGGAGGGGUAACGGCCCACCAAGGCGAAGAUAGGUAGCCGGCCUGAGAGGGUGGACGGCCACAAGGGGACUGAGAUACGGCCCUUACUCCUACGGGAGGCAGCAGUGGGGAAUAUUGGACAAUGGGGGCAACCCUGAUCCAGCAAUUCUGUGUGCACGAAGACGGUUUUCGGAUUGUAAAGUGCUUUCAGCAGGGAAGAAGGGAGUGACGGUACCUGCAGAAGAAGCGACGGCUAAAUACGUGCCAGCAGCCGCGGUAAUACGUAUGUCGCGAGCGUUAUCCGGAAUUAUUGGGCAUAAAGGGCAUCUAGGCGGCCUUUCAAGUCAGGGGUGAAAACCUGCGGCUCAACCGCAGGCCUGCCUUUGAAACUGAUAGGCUGGAGUACCGGAGAGGUGGACGGAACUGCACGAGUAGAGGUGAAAUUCGUAGAUAUGUGCAGGAAUGCCGAUGAUGAAGAUAGUUCACUGGACGGUAACUGACGCUGAAGUGCGAAAGCCGGGGGAGCGAACAGG